rnacentral:rRNA from 1 species
AACGAACGCUGGCGGCAGGCCUAACACAUGCAAGUCGAGCGCGCCCUUCGGGGUGAGCGGCGGACGGGUGAGUAACGCGUGGGAACGUACCCUUUGCUACGGAAUAGUCUCGGGAAACUGGGGGUAAUACCGUAUGAGCCCUUCGGGGGAAAGAUUUAUCGGCAAAGGGUCGGCCCGCGUUGGAUUAGGUAGUUGGUGGGGUAAUGGCCCACCAAGCCGACGAUCCAUAGCUGGUUUGAGAGGAUGAUCAGCCACACUGGGACUGAGACACGGCCCAGACUCCUACGGGAGGCAGCAGUGGGGAAUCUUAGACAAUGGGCGCAAGCCUGAUCUAGCCAUGCCGCGUGAGCGAUGAAGGCCUUAGGGUUGUAAAGCUCUUUCGUGGGGGAAGAUAAUGACUGUACCCCAAGAAGAAGCCCCGGCUAACUCCGUGCCAGCAGCCGCGGUAAUGUCUGUACU